CAGGGACAGGCAAUCAUUUUGGGUGGAGGGCUGCUUAAUGAGUUUUGGUGAGCUGUCAAGGGUCACAAGAGUAGCCUCACCCCUUGAUAGUGAGCACCCCCAGGG